GGGUCAGUAGGUUGGUCGUGCCACCGGUACGUACUGGUCUCACUGAUUCCUCCUUCCUGAAGAACCGUAAUGCCAUUAAUUUGGUGUUGCGGGGAAACAGGACUGUUACUUUGAAAAAAUUAUAGUGUUUAAAGCAAGCUAACGCUUGAAUACAUUAGCGUGGAAUAAUGAAAUAGGACGAUCGAUCCUAUUUUGUUGGUUUCUAGGAUUGACGUA
rnacentral:rRNA from 1 species